UGGGGAAUAUUGCACAAUGGGGGAAACCCUGAUGCAGCGACGCCGCGUGAGCGAAGAAGGCUUUCGAGUCGUAAAGCUCUGUCCUAUGAGAAGACAAUGACGGUAUCAUAGGAGGAAGCCCUGGCUAAAUACGUGCCAGCAGCCGCGGUAAUACGUAUGGGGCGAGCGUUGUCCGGAAUUAUUGGGCGUAAAGGGUACGUAGGCGGUUUUUUAAGUCAGGUGUCAAAGCGUAGAGCUUAACUCCAUUAAGCACUUGAAACUGAAAGACUUGAGUGAAGGAGAGGAAAGUGGAAUUCCUAGUGUAGCGGUGAAAUGCGUAGAUAUUAGGAGGGAUACCGGUGGCGAAGGCGACUUUCUGGACUUUUACUGACGCUCAGGUACGAAAGCGUGGGGAGCAAACAGG
rnacentral:rRNA from 1 species